UACAGAGGGUGCAAGCGUUAAUCGGAAUUACUGGGCGUAAAGCGCGCGUAGGUGGUUUGUUAAGUUGAAUGUGAAAUCCCCGGGCUCAACCUGGGAACUGCAUCCAAAACUGGCAAGCUAGAGUAUGGUAGAGGGUAGUGGAAUUUCCUGUGUAGCGGUGAAAUGCGUAGAUAUAGGAAGGAACACCAGUGGCGAAGGCGACUACCUGGACUGAUACUGACACUGAGGUGCGAAAGCGUGGGGAGCAAACAGG
rnacentral:rRNA from 3 species